rnacentral:rRNA from 1 species
UACGUAGGGGGCAAGCGUUGUCCGGAAUCAUUGGGCGUAAAGCGCGUGUAGGCGGCUCGGUAAGUCUGCUGUGAAAGUCCAGGGCUCAACCCUGGGAUGCCGGUGGAUACUGUCGAGCUCGAGUCCGGAAGAGGAGUGUGGAAUUCCUGGUGUAGCGGUGAAAUGCGCAGAUAUCAGGAGGAACACCAAUGGCGAAGGCAGCACUCUGGGACGGUACUGACGCUGAGACGCGAAAGCGUGGGGAGCAAACAGG